AAAGGGGAGCAAUCCCUGAGUAGAGUGGCAAACGGGUGAGUAACACGUGGGUGACCUGCCUCAGAGUGGGGGAUAACGUCCCGAAAGGGACGCUAAUACCGCAUAACAUCCUGCCUUUGGAAAGGCGGAGAUCAAAGCCGGGGAUCGCAAGACCUGGCGCUUGGAGAGGGGCCCGCGUCUGAUUAGCUAGUUGGUAGGGUAAUGGCCUACCAAGGCUACGAUCAGUAUCCGGCCUGAGAGGGCGGACGGACACACUGGGACUGAGACACGGCCCAGACUCCUACGGGAGGCAGCAGUGGGGAAUUGUUCGCAAUGGGCGCAAGCCUGACGACGCAACGCCGCGUGGAGGAUGAAGAUCUUCGGGUCGUAAACUCCUGUCGAGCGGGAAGAACACUUUCCGGGCGAAUAUCCCGGAAGGCUGACGGUACCGCUAAAGGAAGCCCCGGCUAACUCCGUGCCAGCAGCCGCGGUAAUACGGGGGGGGCAAGCGUUGUUCGGAAUUACUGGGCGUAAAGGGCUCGUAGGCGGCCAACUAAGUCAGACGUGAAAUCCCCAGGCUCAACCUGGGAACUGCGUCUGAUACUGAAUGGCUUGAAUCCGGGAGAGGGAUGCAGAAUUCCAGGUGUAGCGGUGAAAUGCGUAGAUAUCUGGAGGAAUACCGGUGGCGAAGGCGGCAUCCUGGACCGGCAUUGACGCUGAGGAGCGAAAGCCAGGGGAGCAAACGGGAUUAGAUACCCCGGUAGUCCUGGCCCUAAACGAUGAAUGCUUGGUGUAACGGGUAUCGAUCCCUGUUGUGCCGAAGCU
rnacentral:rRNA from 1 species